CUGAACUGCAUCUCAGGAGCCCUUUAGGACAAAUAAUUUUUGUUUUGUAAAAGGCACCAGAUAUCGUGUCUCACAUAAUAAGUGUACAUUUAUUGAGUGCCUACAGGGUUACAGGGAGUGGGCUGAGUGCAGGAGACACAAAGAUGAGUAAAUAAGACAUGCUUUCUUCUUUUCAGGACCUUGGCAUCCAAGGGGGCUGUUAGUACAGUGAGUAAAGUCCAAUGGGACAAUGGAACAUGCAUGUGAGCAGAGGAACACACAGUACAUGUGUGUGUUAUUCCUGCACUCCAUUCGCAAUUUGUGUUGGCAGAGUUCCAGUGGACCCACAACGCAUGGGAGUCCAGAGAAACUCAAAAUUUAGUGUAAUUUCAAUCAGAAUGCCAAAUUGAGAAUUGCAUGAUACCAGUCUAAAGUUUGCUUGGAAAAUUAAAAGGUAAGAAGAGCCAAGAACUCUUUGAAGA